rnacentral:misc_RNA from 1 species
UAUCAGCGUAAUUUAUCAUAGAAAAUGAAUCUAACCCAAGGGAUUGAAAAACAAAAAUUGAACUAAACCAAUGAACUAAACCAAUGAACUAGUAGUAGCAAAAUCCAACACACAAUAACUUUAAACUGUGAUACAUGCCUCUAGGAAAUCUCAGGUGAAGUACAAUUGCUCCAUGUCAAUUCAUUUUAUCAAUUAAAUCAUUUAUUUCAUCUUCACGAUUUCCAGUGUCUCCUCCGUCCUUGUAAGAUGCCCUCUUGCCCUGCAAUCCUCCCUUCGGCUUGCUGAGUGCAAAAGGCCCCAAAAAAUUUGUUAUCUCCUUAAAAUGUGGACCAACAUUAGCAAUUUCAUGUACGAUAUCUUCUAAACACAGGAUGCCGUGUUUCCCUAAUGCCUGUUCAAUAAUGGUGUUAUCAAUAAGAGGAACUCUCUGCUUGUUCAGCAUUCCAUAACCCUUCUUGUAAAUUAGCUCACUAACAUUCUUAGGAUUUGGAUAUCCAAAGGUAACAUAGGGCUCCACCCUUUGUAGCAUUUCCAAUACGCCAGCAGUUGCCUUCAUGAAAACACCAUGAAAAAUCCUCCUUAGUUUCAGGUUGUACAAAAUCUUCCUUGUUUUUGGGUGCAUAUCAUUUUUGCCUUGUAUGCGAAUGAUGAAUAGAAGCUUUGACUUUGGCGUGAGUGAAGCUGAUUUUGGCCUCUUUGUCCUCUGUUUCAUUCGGAUUAGGUCCAAUUCCUUGUCUCUGAACUCCUUGAUAAACUGCUCAGGCCUUUUGAUAUCCUCCACCUUCCUCUUCUUCCCUCCAUAUUUGCCAAACUCCAACUGGGUUUUCCUUGUAAGUGCUAGUGAUUCUUCCUUGUGUUUUCUUUUCUUCAAAAUAACCUCCGGUAUAUAAGCCAUCGCCAUUGUCUCCCCUUCCGCCAUUACUAUUCUCUUCUCUCCCUGGCCACCCAGAAUGAAAAUCUGAAAGCUGAAGCAGAGGUGCGAUGUAGGAAGAAGCCGAGUUGCGGCGGCAAGUCGCAAGCUCGACAAGGAGGAGAGUUUU